rnacentral:rRNA from 1 species
UACGUAGGGUGCAAGCGUUAAUCGGAAUUACUGGGCGUAAAGCGUGCGCAGGCGGUUUUGUAAGUCUGUCGUGAAAUCCCCGGGCUCAACCUGGGAAUGGCGAUGGAGACUGCAAGGCUAGAGUUUGGCAGAGGGGGGGUAGAAUUCCACGUGUAGCAGUGAAAUGCGUAGAGAUGCGGAGGAACACCGAUGGCGAAGGCAGCCCCCCUGGGCUAACACUGACGCUCAGGCACGAAAGCGUGGGGAGCAAACAGG